rnacentral:misc_RNA from 1 species
GAUGAAGAACGCAGCGAAAUGCGAUAACUAAUGUGAAUUGCAGAAUUCCGUGAAUCAUCGAGUCUUUGAACGCACAUUGCGCCCCCUGGUAUUCCGGGGGGCAUGCCUGUCCGAGCGUCAUUGCUGCCCAUCAAGCACGGCUUGCGUGUUGGGUCCCGUCCCCCUCUCCCGGGGGACGGACCCGAAAGGCAGCGGCGGCACCGCGUCCGGUCCUCGAGCGUAUGGGGCUUUGUCACCCGCUCUUGUAGGCCCGGACGGCGCUUGCCGACACCCAACCAUUUUUUUCAGGUUGACCUCGGAUCAGGUAGGGAUACCCGCUGAACUUAAGCAUAUCAAUAAGCGGAGGA